GACGAACGCUGGCGGCGCGCUUAACACAUGCAAGUCGAACGGAAAGGCCUGCUUUCCCUUGUGGAUUGCGGGUACUCGAGUGGCGAACGGGUGAGUAACACGUGAGUGAUCUGCCCCCAACUUGGGUAUAAGCCUGGGAAACUGGGUCUAAUUCCCGAUAGGACUGCAGGGUGGUGCCUGUGGUGGAAAACGUUUUUCUAGUGGUUGGGGAUGAGCUCGCGGCCUAUCAGCUUGUUGGUGGGGUAAUGGCCUACCAAGGCGGCGACGGGUAGCCGGCCUGAGAGGGUGGACGGCCACAUUGGGACUGAGAUACGGCCCAGACUCCUACGGGAGGCAGCAGUGGGGAAUAUUGCACCAUGGGCGGAAGCCUGAUGCAGCGACGCCGCGUGGGGGAUGACGGCCUUCGGGUGGUAAACUCCUUUCGACCGCGAGGAAGCCACCUGGUUGGAAGGGUGGUGACGGUAGUGGUAGAAGAAGCACCGGCUAACUACGUG
rnacentral:rRNA from 1 species